GUCCACGUUUGCCAGGGCUAGCUGUGAGAGAAUGCCUCAUGACACGGUUAAAUAACAGCCGAAAUCGUAACAGGGCUCUUUCUGGGGAACCCUCUAGUGAAACUGAAGCAUUUUGACCUUCAACAAGGAUUACAAACUUGAGGGGAAAAGAAACUUCCCAACCCUUUGCUGAGAAGAGCCUGAAGAAGCUGCUGGAGGAGUUCACACUCCGAGUAAAACGUAUUAGCAAAUACUGAACAUAAUUUGUUGUAUGUGAACCUCAGUAAAAAAAAAAAAAAAAAAAAAAGACAG